GCUGAAGGCCGCGCGGGCCUCAGCAGAGAGGGAAAACGAGCAGAAAGUCUGACAGGUCAUCAGUAGGAAACUCAGCAGCUGACCCUCUCCUUCGCCAGCACCACAUUCACCUCGUGUACAAAAUUGUCAAAUCCAGUCACCCAACCACCAUCUGUAAAGCACUUGCAGAUAUCUGAGCAUUGCUGUCAACAGGUUGUCACUGGUCGUGAAUUGCUGUCCUCAUGGAAUUCAAUGAAGUAAUGGAAAUUACUGCAAAUACCUUCUACAUCUUUCUGGAGUGUCUUUAUUUUCCCGUACCAUAUAAUAUGGGUCUUUUCUCGAGUUUAAUGGAUGACAACAACCAGGGGACUAAUUUUAGUAUAUAGAUUUUAGUUCAUUUCUUACUUUACAAGCACGUCUUUCCCAUUUUUGAACAAAGUUUUUGGGAAAUCUCCAUUAAUUUUUUUUUAAUUCGAGGCUUUUGCUCUUUGAGGUUUCAGUGAGCAGAGGCUUGAGUGAGAGAAACUGAAAAAGCUGAAUGUUGAUUUUUUUUCCUGUUUAUUUAUUGUUUCCUUCUUUAUAUUUGCACAGUUAGAGCAGUAGAGGUGCCAGGCAGGAUAGCUGAAUGCUCCUCUUGCAGGAUGUGCAAAGGUAAGGAGACUUCCAGUGUCCCUGACAACUUCACCUUCAUGAAGUACAUCCAGUUGCAGCUUCUAACAGUCCAUGCUAAGGAGUUGGAGCUGGAACUGGACGAACUCCAAGAGAGGAUGUUACACCCAGGAGCAGGGCACAGGAAAAUGGAUGACUGUAAGAAAGGGGAAAAGGGUUAAGAAGCCAGUGCUGAGUACCCCUGUGGUCAUCCCUCUCAAUAACAGGUAUAUUACUUUGGAUACUGUUGGAGGAAAGUCACAGCAGUCAGUUCUCUGACACUGAGUUUGACUCUCUGACUCAGAUGGAAAGGGGACAGCAGAGGCACGCUGUGGCAAUAGGCGAUUUGUUAGUUAGGGGAACAGAACGGAGGUUAAGUGGAUGAGAAUGAGAUUCCUGGAUGGUGUGCUGCCUCCUGGGUUCCUGUAUCUGGGACAUCUUGGAUUAAGCCCUCUGCAUUCUUAGGUGGGAGGGUGAGCAGCCAGAAGUUGUGGUCCAUGUAGGUACCAAUGACAUAGGUAGGAAGGGUGCAAGGUUCUGUUAAGUGAGUUCAGGGAGUUAGGUGCUAAGUUAAAUGACAGGACCUCCACUGUUGUGAUUUCAAGACUGCUAUCCAUGCUGUGUGAUAGUGAGGCCAGAACUAGGAAGAUCAUACAGUUUAAUAUAUGGCUAAGGAGUAGGUGUAGGAAGGAAGGUGUAAAAUUUUUGGAUCAUUGGGCUCCCUUCCAGGGAAGGUGCAGCCUGUACAGAAGAGACGAUUUACACCUGAAUUGGAGGGGGACUCAUGUUCUAGUGGGGAAGUUUGCUAGUGUCGCACGCAGGGAAUUUAACUAAAGCUGAAGGACCAUGGGAACCAGAGUGGCAGAACAGAUAUGUGGGGUGGUUGUGGAGAUGUUGUUAAGACCUCAGACAAUCAAAAGGUUGAGCAUGGUGCGACUAAUGACCUGCAGCGUGCAUGGGUUUCCUCCGGGUGCUCCAGUUUCCUCCCACAGUCCAGUGAGGGUUAGUAACAAGUGGGCAUGCUGUGUUGGCACUGGAAGCGUGGUGACACUUACAGGCUGUCCAGCACAUUCCUUGUUGACUCAAUUUGACGUAAGUGAAGCAUUUCACUGUAUAUUUUGAUGUUCCAAUAUAUACAGGACGAAUAAAUAAAUAAAUCUAAUUUUUAAAAUAAAGCUUUCCAGCUGCUGACUUUGUUUCCUGUGGCAAAUAUUUUCUAUAGAGUCCUUCCUGCAUUUAUUCUUCUUUUUCUAAGCUGUAGAGAUUUCAAACUGUCAAGAUUACAGAAUGGCACACACAGGACAGUGUGCAAAGGAUGGAAGAGUUACGCUGAAGGGUGUUCUAACAUUUAACUAUCAUUCAUUCUACAGGGAACUCUGUUUUCGUUGAUGUUUGUGAAGAAAAAGAAUUUCAGGAUGUAUAUUGUAUACAUUUCUCUGACAUUAAAUGCACCUAUUGAAAUCUAAGUUCCUGUCCUGUGCAUCUUCCUCCUGUGAACACCCUUCAGUACCUAGAAGAAACCCACGCGGUCACAGGGAGCAGGUACAAACUCCUUACAGGCAGUGGUGGGAAUUGAACCCUGAUUGGUGAUGGCUGGCCCUGUAAUAUUACAUUCAUCAAUCUGCCACCAGGCAGCGAUGUGUAAAUAGCCACCCGAAGCGCUAUUUAAAUUUGCAUUCAAUUAGCCUGAUAAUUUAGUUCAUCAACUGUAUCCUUAGCAGCUGUUGCUUACCUUCAGACACACCUUCUUGGAGACAGUCCAAAGUAUCUUUCCUCCCAUUGUUAUGCACACUGUAGCUCCCACCCACUCCCCCUCCCAACUCCUGACAACAUUCACCAAAUAAUUCUAUUGCUACCUCAAUGAUACUGAUUGAUCUAGCAUCCUUUAUGAACACCUGCAAUACUCAUCAAUCUUCAUGCCAUCUUAAAAAUUUCUUUCCCCAACCAGUUAGUCUGAUUAUUGUUAUUAUUUAUUACUAUUUAGAGAUGCAGCCUAGUAACAUGAUUUUCUGGCACAACAAGGCCAUGCCAUCCAAUUACACCCAUGUGGCCAAUUGACCUACUAACUUGUACGGCUUUGGAAUGUUGGAGAAAACUGGAGCACCCAGAGUAAACCCACCUGGCCAUGGGGAGAACGUAUAAACUCCUUACAGACACGGGUGGAAUUGAACCCAGGUCGUUGGCACUGUAAAGGCGUUACACUGACCAGCACGCUGCUCUGCUGCCAUUGCCAUUGUAGUUAAACCCUAAUCACUGAACAGCACUGUAAACUCUUUAAACCACUAUUUAUAAUGCUGCUUUACAUUGCAAAUUCAUGCUUAU